GAUGAACGCUAGCGGCAGGCUUAAUACAUGCAAGUCGAGGGGCAGCACAGAUAGCAAUAUUGGGUGGCGACCGGCAAACGGGUGCGGAACACGUACACAACCUUCCUUUUAGUGUGGGAUAGCCCAGAGAAAUUUGGAUUAAUACCACAUAGUAUAUUGGAGUGGCAUCACUUUGAUAUUAAAGAUUUAUCGCUAAAAGAUGGGUGUGCGUAUGAUUAGGUAGUUGGUAGAGGUAACGGCUCACCAAGCCUUCGAUCAUUAACUGGUGUGAGAGCACGACCAGCCACACGGGCACUGAGACACGGGCCCGACUCCUACGGGAGGCAGCAGUAAGGAAUAUUGGUCAAUGGACGGAAGUCUGAACCAGCCAUGCCGCGUGAAGGAUGACGGCCCUCUGGGUUGUAAACUUCUUUCAUGUGGGACGAAAAAGGGCCAUUUCUGGUCAACUGACGGUACCAUAGGAAUAAGCACCGGCUAGCUCCGUGCCAGCCGCCGCGGUAA
rnacentral:rRNA from 1 species